rnacentral:rRNA from 1 species
GACGAACGCUGGCGGCGUGCUUAACACAUGCAAGUCGAACGGAAAGGCCCUGGUUUUGUGGGGUGCUCGAGUGGCGAACGGGUGAGUAACACGUGAGUAACCUGCCCUUGACUUUGGGAUAACUUCAGGAAACUGCGGCUAAUACCGGAUAGGAGCUCCUGCUGCAUGGUGGGGGUUGGAAAGUUUCGGCGGUUGGGGAUGGACUCGCGGCUUAUCAGCUUGUUGGUGGGGUAGUGGCUUACCAAGGCUUUGACGGGUAGCCGGCCUGAGAGGGUGACCGGCCACACUGGGACUGAGAUACGGCCCAGACUCCUACGGGAGGCAGCAGUGGGGAAUAUUGCACAAUGGGCGGAAGCCUGAUGCAGCAACGCCGCGUGCGGGAUGACGGCCUUCGGGUUGUAAACCUCUUUCGCCUGGGACGAAGCGUGAGUGACGGUAAUUGGUAAAGAAGCACCGGCUAACUACGUG